CCUACGGGAGGCAGCAGUGGGGAAUCUUGCGCAAUGGGCGAAAGCCUGACGCAGCAACGCCGCGUGCGGGAUGAAGGCCUUCGGGUUGUAAACCGCUUUUAACAGGAACGAAAAUGACGGUACCUGUAGAAUAAGGUGCGGCCAACUACGUGCCAGCAGCCGCGGUGACACGUAGGCACCAAGCGUUGUCCGGAUUUAUUGGGCGUAAAGAGCUCGUAGGCGGUUCGAUAAGUCGGGUGUGAAAACUCUGGGCUUAACCCAGAGACGCCACUCGAUACUAUUGUGACUAGAGUUCGGUAGGGGAGCGGGGAAUUCCUAGUGUAGCGGUGAAAUGCGCAGAUAUUAGGAGGAACACCGGUGGCGAAGGCGCCGCUCUGGGCCGAAACUGACGCUGAGGAGCGAAAGCGUGGGUAGCAAACAGGAUUAGAUACCCUGGUAGUCCACGCCGUAAACGGUGGGCACUAGGUGUGGGCUCCAACCAACGGAGUCCGCGCCGUCGCUAACGCAUUAAGUGCCCCGCCUGGGGAGUACGGCCGCAAGGUUAAAACUCAAAGGAAUUGACGG
rnacentral:rRNA from 1 species